CCCGGUGCCCUGCGGGGUAAACGGCGGUGUUAAACCUUAAAGUAGCGUGAUAAGUCGGCCUUUAAUUGGGGUCUGGUAUGAAGGGGUUGACGUCGGAGAAACUGUCUCGGAAAAAUAUGGUGAAAUUUACUUUUAAGUGAAAAGGCUUAAAUAGAAGUAAAAGACGAGAAGGCCCUGUCGAGCUUGAGGGAUUUGAGUGUUAAGUAACAUGAUUAGGAGUU
rnacentral:rRNA from 1 species